rnacentral:rRNA from 1 species
UAGGGAAUAUUGGUAAUGGGCGAAAGCCUGAACCAGCAACGCCGCGUGUGCGAUGAAGGCCUUCGGGUUGUAGAGCACUUUUUGAGGGGUUGAGGAAGGACAGUACCCCCAGAAUAAGUUUCGGUUACCUACGUGCCAGCAGCGGCGGUAACACGUAGGAGACUAGCGUUAUCCGGCUUUACUGGGCGUAAAGCGCGUGCAGGUGGCUCGGAAAGUUCGAUGUGAAAGCUCCCGGCUUAACUGGGAGAGGUCGUUGAAUACUUUCGGGCUAGAGGAUGGGAGAGGGAGGCGGAAUUCCGGGUGUAGUGGUGAAAUGCGUAGAUAUCCGGAGGAACACCAGUGGCGAAAGCGGCCUCCUGGCCCAUUUCUGACACUCAGACGCGAAAGCUAGGGUAGCAAACGG